rnacentral:rRNA from 1 species
GACGAACGCUGGCGGUAUGCUUAACACAUGCAAGUCGAACGAGAAGUUUUUUAUUGAACCUUCGGGGGAUAUAAGAGACAGACAGUGGCGAACGGGUGAGUAACGCGUGGGCAACCUACCUAUCGGAGCGGGAUAGCCUCGAGAAAUCGGGAGUAAAACCGCAUAACACGGAUAUAUCGCAUGAUGAAUCCGUCAAAACUCCGGUGCCGAUAGAUGGGCCCGCGUCUGAUUAGCUAGUUGGUAAGGUAAGGGCUUACCAAGGCAACGAUCAGUAGCCGGUUUGAGAGGGCGAACGGCCACACUGGAACUGAGACACGGUCCAGACUCCUACGGGAGGCAGCAGUGGGGAAUAUUGCGCAAUGGGGGCAACCCUGACGCAGCAAUACCGCGUGAGUGAAGAAGGUUUUCGGAUCGUAAAGCUCUGUUAUUGGGGAAGAAGCAGGACGGUACC